GGUUCUAGUUGAUGGAAGUCUUCAACAGAGAUGGAGCCAUUCUGCUGUUUGUGUUUCUGAGGACAAGACAUUGACCCACUGUAAAUUCACUGAAGUCCUGCCCCAUCUUAGGACAACACCCUGGGUUUAUCUUGGUGAAGUGAGUUCUAGCUGCCUCCUCUUAAGGACCGUGAGAGAUGUUUGCUAAGCAUGCAGACUCCCAGGUCUCAACCCAGCAAGUCUGAGGCAAACCCAGACAUCUGUAUGUUUAACAAGUAUUCUAGGUGACUCUCAUGUCCAGGUGAGUUAAGUUUAGAAUCUUGUUCUAAUGAGGCUUCUGACAGGAAGACGGAAAUCAGGUUAACUUGAGUGCAGGCAGUACCCUUACCUGAUUAUACUUGUGCCCUAUAAAUUUAUAUAAAUAGAAAACUUUUAAAAACAGAGGUUCUUUUUAUAAUUUCACACUUUAUUACGAGCAGGUUUUUUGUCUCAUUUUGUUUUUUGAGACAGGGUCUCAGUCUGUUACUCAGGCUGGAGUGCAGUGAUGUGAUCAGCCUAAGUCUCCACACUUAAGUGGAGUGCAAAUGGGAGACAUCCUGGUUGUUUUGGUGUUUUUUUUGUUUUUAUUCGCUUUUUAGAGAUGAGGGUCUCACUGUGUUGCUCAGGCUGGACUGGAACUCCUGGGCUCAAGUGAUCCUCUCAAGCCACCUCCCAAGUAGCUGGGACUACAGGCAUGCACUGCACAUGGCUUGUGUUUUGAUUCAGAACAGGUAGAAAUUCAUCUAUAUGAAUUUCUGUAUAUCAGGUAGAUUAAUUUCUGCCUGUUCUGAAUCAAAACAAAAACAAGCCAUGGAUGGGAAGGGGUAUAGGAAAGUGGGAGGCAACGCCCAAGUUCGGAAAGGCUUGUGUGGUGGGGAGAAGAAAAGAAAAACCUGGGCUGGGCGCUAAGCCACACACCUGUAAUUCCAAAACUUUGGGAGGCCGAGGUGGGGGGAUUGCUGGAGCCCAGAAGUGUGAGACCAGCCUGGGCAACACAGCAAAACCCCGUCUCUACCAAAAAAAAAAAAAAAGGGAAAGAAAAAAACCCGGAAAGCCAGGUUUCCUGCAUUCUGCCUUUCUAGGCAGGGCCAGAGUAAGCUGCUGCUGGGUGGGCUGCGUGAAAGCUAGUGAGUAUGCAACAAGCCUGGCCCUUGGGAAGCAGUAACCACAGGUCAAAGAGCAAAGCAGUGACAACACUGCCUGCCCUCAAGACUGGGCCAGGGCCUGGGAUUGGGCCACUGGGCCAACACCUCAGUAAGGAGUUUUUUUUAUUUUUUUUUGAGAUGGAGUCUCCCUCUGUCGCCCAGGCUGACCUCAGGUGAACCGCCCAUCUCAGCCUCCCAAAGUGCCGGGAUUACAGCCGUGAGCCACCACACCUGGCUUGGGGGUUAGAUCUUUACCUUGUCCUACUUUAAAAAUCAAUGAGGCCAGGUACAGUGGUGCAUACCUAUGGUCCCAACUAUUCAGGAGGAUCACUUGAGCCUGAGAGGUUGAGGCCUGCAGUGAGUCAUGAUCACGCCACUGCACUCCAGCCUGGGUGACAAAGGGAGAUCCUGUUCCAAAAAAGAAAGGUAGGGGAAAGGGUUAGGCAUGGUAGUUCCUGCCUGUAAUCCCAGCACUUUGGGAGGCCAAGGCAGGUGGAUCACUUGAGGUCAGGAGUUCGAGAACAGCCUGGCCAACAUGGGGAAACCCCGUCUCUACUGAAAAUACAAAAAUUAGCUGGGUGUGGUGGCGGUUGCCUGUAAUCCCAGCUACUUGGGAGGCUGAAGCAGAGAAUCACUUGAACCCAGGAGGCGGAGGUUGCAGUGAGCUGAGAUUGUGACACUGCACUCCAGCCUGGGCAACAGAGUGAGACUCUGUCUCAAAAAAAAAAAAAAAAAGACUCAAAACAAAACAAAAAACAAAAAAAAAAUCAAUGAAGCUGUGGGGACAGAAGUAAGCCAGGCCUUGAAGUGCUGUUAGUGAUAGAAUGGGGGAAUCAGAGGGUGGCCACCAAAUCCUAGACAGUUCAGGGGGCAGGAAACACAUCCCUGCCCUGGGUACCAGCCCCUCCACCUCACCCCCAGCCAUUUUCUAUGCUCAGAACAAAGUCCAGGACAAGACCUGCAUCUAGACUGUAAUCUCACUGCUCACCAGCUCCUUUAACAGGGGGAACAUCAGUCCUGGAGAUGCAGAGGUGGAGGCUGGACCAAGACAGUAUCAUUUUCCCAGGACCUGGCGUCAUCCUCAACAGCUUAAGGAGAGACAGAUUCCAUUCUGUUCCACUCUCUAUGGCCUUGGCUGCCCUAACCUGGUAGAGGGGGAGAGGCUGGGACCAGGCUAUGAGGGGGCCCCUCACUCCCAGUUCAGCCCCCAGAGCCGCUGCAAUGGACGCAGGGAGGCUUCAGCAGUGUAUCCCUCCUACCCACUGGGCCUAGCCUGGAAGUGUGAGGUAGAGUUGCAGUGUGGGUGCUCACGGGAGAUCUGGUGCGGGCACAGCUCCCCCAGGACUUGCUGCCAUUCUUUCCUUCCAAUAAGCCACAG
rnacentral:lncRNA from 1 species